UAAUUUAAAAUUUCCUGUGGUUGAUAAACUACAUAAUCAUCAAUGGAAGCAUAUUUACCAUUUCAGAGGAGUGAGGUUGACAAUUCAUGAUAAUAAUAUGACUUAAGAAUCAGAGCCCAGGAACAAAACGCAAGGGCCACAUCACACAGAGGGAUCAUGUGAGCCUCAAACUGGCAUGCUUAGUUCCUUUUUAGAGUCACUCCAGGAUCAGGAGCUUUAAAUUCACACACAUAUCCAGUUCUUACACCCAGUUUGCAUAGCCUCAAGUCUGUACACGGAACCUCCAUCUCAGUACUGCUAGGCUGAAUUCCAUUUCAAAUUUGGGGGAGUGCAUGAGACUAGAGACGGAAGAAAAACAGGAACCAAAGAAUCUAAUUCCAUGUAUUCGGUUCUUCAUUUUUCAUGAAAACGUGGACGGGUAUGCACUUACGCCAAAGAGAUAUCUAAUAUCAUCACCGAUUUUCUUUGGAAAAGGUUUAGUAAAGAGGCAAGGAAGAUUGAAAUAUGGAGGAGGAGAACUUCUCACCAGGACUAGAGAAAUUUAGCUCCAUCCCUACCAAUGAGCCUUAGGAAACUCUGCUCCCAGGGCAAAAUGAAGCAGAGAUCCGAAAAACUUUCCAAGUCACUGUCACUGCUUAGGUCCAGGGAACAGAUGAUGACAGCAGAAACUUUCUUAACUUAAAGCUUUGUUGAAACCUUCACUUAACUUGUAUGUGGACCAGAUAAACUUCUUUCAUACUUUGGGCAUGUAAAGCAAGACUCCUGCCAAUCAAUAAUGGAGAUAACCAUGCUGUAAAAAUCCACGGUAUCUAACAGCUUGGCCUUUAGGAAGUUAAAUGUCUUACCAAUGAACUGAAAGAAAGACUGUUCCUUUCUCUUUUAGAGAUUUGUCAUGCAACAGCAGAUCAAACGAUGUCUUCUGAAGCUCUCGAUAGCCCAGAACGGACAGUUAAAAUCGCAUCUUGCUGCUCUGCAUUUCCUAUCAAUAUCUUUUGUAAAAUUUUACCUCUCUGUACAAAGCAAACUAUGAUUUGCCAUCAACUGAGUUGUAACUGGGAGUCCAGCUAUAUUCUGUAGACCCAUAUAUCAUCAACUAUCUCAAAUAACAGCAUGUCUGAACUCAGGGGGCAGAUCUGGCUGAUGGAUGAGACAGAAUGGAACACAGCUUAUUCUUUGGCUGCUAUAUUGACUUUGCUGUAUGACAGUAGCAAGAACACAACAUUUUUUAUUUUUUAUUUUUUAUUUUCUUAAACAGGUCUUGGAGAGUACAUAAAAGAGGGAAAACGUAGUGAUUUUCACGACUCCCUUGUCACCUUAAUAUGCUACCAGGAAUAGAUUAUAACUAUGGAAAUUGUUUUAUUGUUUGGUUUUUAAAGACUGUGUUUCAAAUAAUCAUUCAUUUAUUGCAUUGUUACAAAAAUAUCCAAGUUAAGGUUGAUGAUUAUAAGAAAGCAGCCACUCGAUAUUUAAGAAAAUUAGUAGGUAAACCUUUAUAGACAGUCUGAGGUUGAGGGACCGACACAGUGAGUAUUCACUAUGCUGUACGUGUUUGAUAUGCAUCACUUCAUUCAAUUUUCCCAAUGAACUAUUUCCCUGUGAAAUAAGGGCUGAUGCUGUCCCACCCAUAUUCCCUCCUCCUUCCUGCUGCAGUGCACACUGUCCAACUUCCAAUCUCCAGCAACUGCAUUUCUUCAACCUUUACCCAAGGGCUUUCUCUGACUGCCAAAGCCCAAGGUACUAGCUUAUGUGGUAGGCAAGGAGGCUGGAAUUAACACCCUGUAGAGAGCAGCCUUCUUCCAAAGUCUGACAUGAGUUGGUAUCUUCCCCACCCUCCAUCCACUAACCCCAACCUUGUCCAGUAACUGCACUGACUUCCAAAAUUUCCCCAGUGGGUUUCAGCUCCAAGGCUCACAUGUUAAUGGCCUCAAAACACACAUUUUGUUGGCUACCUUCUCCCCUCUGUCUCACUUUUACUCAUUCCUACUUAUUUUCCUCCACUUUUUAAAUAAAGUACUUGCACUCAAACUCCCAUCACAGAGUCAGCUGCUGGGAACACUCAAGGCAAGACAUUUCUCUUUUACAGAAGGGGAAACUGAGGUUUAGAAAAGUUCCUUCCUCAGGCUCACACAGCUCCACCCAGGAUACAGGCCCAAGACACUGUCUUACAGGCUCAGCACUUAAUCAUUAGAUACACAACUUCCACUUGGCAAGGUGAAAAGUUCUCAACUUUACCUUCAAGGAUGCACUCAUAAGCACUCACUAAUAAAAUUCUAUCCACGUGGGCAUCUUAUUUCUGAAUAAAAUUGAGAAACAUCAUUAGGAAAACAAAAUAUAGUCAAAAUAAUCUAAGAUCCAAACUGAUUUCAAAAAUAAAAUUUGAAAAGGCUGGGCAUGUGGAGGAUGGAGGAAGAAGGAAUUAGAUGAAGGCAGUCAAAAGGCACCAACUUCCAGUUAUUAGAUAAACAAGUACUGGGGAUAUAACGUACAACAUGAUAAACAUAAUUAACACUGCUGUAUGUUUUAUAUAGAAGUUGUUAAGACAGUAAAUCUUAAGAGUGCUUACCACAAGGAAAAAUAUAUUUUCUCUUUUCUUUUGUAUCUAUACGAGAUAUUCACUACAUUGAUGUGGUAGUCAUUUUAUAAUGUAGGUAACAUAAUGUAAUAUAAAUCAUCCUGCUGUACACCUUAAACUUACACAGUGCUGUGUGUCAAUGAUAUCUCAAUAACACUGGAAGAAAAAACUCUAAAUUCUCACAGCUCAAAAAAAUAAAAUAAAAUAAAAAUAAAAAGGCUAGACAAAGCAAGCUACUUGAAUUUGAAAUGCAGGUGAUUCUAUUUUUUUUUUUUUAGGAAUUAAAACACAGGUCUUAAUGCAUGUGCUCGCUUCUGUUUGAGAAAUAGAACAUGCUCAUUAUAGUAAGUACCAAUUGUAAUGAAAAAUUCAGAUCUGAUCAACGUCCAAAUAGGGGAGUUCCUGGUAGGCUCUCGACAGACUUGCUGAGGAUUCUUUAUCCUUCUCCUCCAGCUUUGGUGCCACCGCUGUUAAAAAAGUGGUUCUCUCCUAUGCAUCAGAAUCACAAGAAGCUUUUAAAGACAGAUGUCUGAACUCCUCUGGACUUAACAUAUUUAGAGAGGUGUAUUUUCAGAAGCUCCAAAUGAGAUUCUAGAAAGAGGCACAGGGUCAUCACAGUGCAUGUGUCCUCACCAGGGUGGAAAGAGACUUGCUGCUCCAACCUGCCUUAUCAGCUCCAUGGAGGGGAGUAAAGCGGUUACAGAAAACUGACACUGUUGGAAGCCAACUGGUUCAUCUCAGACUUCUUUAAGAAAUCAGCUCUUGAAAAUUCUUGGAUAUUUUAAUAUGCCUGUCAGGAAUCUCUGGGCCUCCUUGAAUUUUCCCAUAAAAUUUAAAUAUCCCAGCAAUAAUUUUGAGAUGUCAUCUUCUCUCUACACGUAAGCAACAUUUAAAAUGUGGCUUUAUUAGUAGAUUUUAUUCAACGUGCUGGAUUAGGAGGAUUUGGGUUAAUAGAUUUUAUGCUAAGAAUGGUUUAUUUCCCAAAAGCUGCUCUAGCAUCAAAAUAAUUGUGCAUUCAAAUAAUGAAAAUAAUAAUAAAUUUCUUAAGUUUCAAAA